CAUUCAUAAAAACAGAUUUUAUUUUAUAAAUGAGUCAGCACAAACCUUAGCCAGUGGAGAAACACACCCAGAUAAUGCUACAUAUUUUAUUACAUGGCUUUUAAGAGUUGAAACCAAAAUAGAUUGAAUUUCUACGCCUGCAGCUCAUGACAGUGCAGCUAUAUUAAAUAAAUUUCUCCCAUGCAUAGGGCAGAAACUGCUUGAAGGAGG